rnacentral:tRNA from 1 species
GACCGCGUAGCUCAGUUGGCAGAGCAUUGGGCUAGUAUUCCAAAGGUCGUAUGUUCGACUCCGACCGUGGCCA